rnacentral:rRNA from 1 species
AGUCGAGCGAUGAGGUCUCCUUCGGGGGGCACAUCAGCGGCAGACGGGUGAGUAACACGUAGGUAACCUACCCCAGAGACAGGGAUAACCCUAGGAAACGAGGGCUAAUACCGGAUGACCUCCGGAAGGAGGAAAGGCUCAGGCGCUCUGGGAGGGGCUUGCGGNCCAUCAGCUAGUUGGUAGGGUAAAGGCCUACCAAGGCGAAGACGGGUAGGGGGUGUGAGAGCACGGNCCCCCACAAUGGGACUGAAACACGGNCCAUACUCCUACGGGAGGCAGCAGCAGGGAAUAUUGCACAAUAGGCGAAAGCCUGAUGCAGCGACGCCGCGUGAGUGAAGAAGGCCUUCGGGUCGUAAAGCUCUUCUGUAGGGGAAGAGGAAGGACGGUACCCUAAGAAGAAGCGUCGGCUAACUACGUGCCAGCAGCCGCGGUAAGACGUAGGACGCGAGCGUUAUCCGGAAUUACUGGGCGUAAAGGGCCAGCAGGCGGCUUGGUAAGUUGUGCGUGAAAGCCUCGUGCUCAACGCGAGGAAGCCGGACAAUACUGUCAAGCUAGAGGGCAUCAGAGGGGAGUGGAAUUCCCGGAGUAGCGGUAAAAUGCGCAGAUAUCGGGAGGAACACCGAUGGCGAAGGCAGCUCCCUGGGAUGCACCUGACGCUAAGAGGCGAAAGCUAGGGGAGCGAACAGGAUUAGAGACCCUGGUAGUCCUAGCUGUAAACGCUGGGUGCUAGGUGUGGGACGUAGAAGUUCCGUGCCGGAGCAAACGCGAUAAGCACCCCGCCUGGGAAUUACGGUCGCAAGGCUAAAACUCAAACGAAUUGACGGGGCCCCGCACAAGCAGCGGAGCGUGUGGUUCAAUUCGAUGCUACACGAAGAACCUUACCUGGGUUUGACAUGUACGUGGUACGAAGGCGAAAGCCUAAGGACCCUUCGGNGAGCGUACACAGGUGCUGCAUGGCUGUCGUCAGCUCGUGCCGUGAGGUGUCGGGUUAAGUCCCGUAACGAGCGCAACCCUUGCCCUUAGUUACAAGUGUCUAAGGGGACUGCCGGCGGGAAGCCGGAGGAAGGUGGGGAUGACGUCAAGUCAGCAUGGCCCUUAUGUCCAGGGCUACACACACGCUACAAUGGUCAGUACAAAGGGUAGCGAAGUCGC